GGGAAGAUGAGAAGACUGUCACCUUGUGCGUGGCCAGCACCCUGGGGUUUGCUCUGACCUUUACUGUACCAGCCAGAGAGGAGGCAGGAGAGGAGGUGGGGGAGGAGGAACCUUUGGCUGGAGAUGCGUGAGUGUGGGCUGAGGUGUGCCGGGCAGAGUGCUGGGGUGGACAGCCAGGUCAGACAGCUGAGGAGGAGGCAGUGGACAACCCCUGGCUCUUUGGCUGGAGAUGCGUGAGUGUGGGCUGAGGUGUGCCGGGCAGAGUGCUGGGGUGGACAGCCAGGUCAGACAGCUGAGGAGGAGGCAGUGGACAACCCCUGGCUCUUUGGCUCCAGGCACCUCUAGGGAGGGAGAGUAGAUGCCUGCGGCUGCCGUUACCCAGGGUGUUUCCCUCAACCUGGGGGCCCUGCCUGUCUCCAGCCUCCCACUGCUGGUCCACCCGCUCCACACGGACUACUGUAGGCUAGGGGAACACAGCAGGGGCAGGGCACUUAUCGUCAUAGGGAAAAAGCUGGUCAGCGAGAAGAGCAUUUUCUCAAACCCUUCCCUCUUCACCCGAGGCAGUCAAGGAGUGGCCAUUGCAAGUCAGCUAAGCGAGUUGUCUUCGUACCAGUCUUCCUGUGGAGGAGUGACCCCUGAGAGACUCCUCACCUGCUGGUCUGAGACUCAGAGCUGUGAUACAGGCCUCUCUACUGAACAGAGCUCUCUCUACUCAUGGAGAUAUGAUGUAUGAGCGCACACAC
rnacentral:lncRNA from 13 species